UUUAAGCACCGGUUCUAGUACGAUCACCGAAGUUAAGCAAUGUUGAGCCUGGUCAAUAACUAGAUGGGUGACUGCUUGGCAAUGCCAGGGGCUGUAAG